CUCACCUAAGUUCCCGAGUAAGGGAAGCUUCUCGGUUGGGGACUUGCAAGAUCCAAGCCAUUUUAGUAAUCAUGAAACUUCUAAGUACUGAAGUGUGGUAUCAUUUUCACUUGCCUUAUCUGUCUCAUAUGUAGAUGUGGCAUCUUCUCUGGAAGUACUUUUCCUCUAUCCAUGGGUGGUAUCUUUAACCGAUGAAGAUGUACAAGGUAAUGUAUCAAUUUCACUUGAAGCUUACUUGUAGUUUCGGGCUUGGUCAAGUGUGAUACAAACCCUAUAGUAGGAGUCCCCCCAAGUUGCCGAGCUAGGAGAUUUGCCGAAAGAGGUAACAGACAAGGUAAGCAAUCAGACUUCCAAGCUGUUGAUGCACAAAACUGGAGGGUCUUGGAACAACGUAAAUUCGACCGUGAAUCUACAAGAAAGUAAAGAACACAAGAUGUAUCGUGGAACCCAAUGUUUUGGCUACGUCCACACUGAGAUUGAUUGUGUUUCUCUCUAACCGUAUGUAUGGAUUACAAGGGUGAGGGGGAGUCUCUCAGAGAAAGAAAGAGUUUAAGAUAGCUCUCUGUUUAUGAGGAUGAGAGCUUGAGGUUUGUAAGGGUGAGAAUGCCCUUUUAUAGAAUAAGGGCUCAUCACUUAUUACAUAUUUGCCCUUCAAUUUAUUACAUAAUUACAUUUGUGUCCCCCGAGUAUAUCUACGAGGUCUAAAUAUGAAGGCCCUAAGUAUGGUACAAACAGUAGUCCCCCGAGUCUUCAGUUAAGAAAGUCUUUUGGCUGGAGACUUAAAAUUCAGUCCAUGUGUGGGCCGAAGUAACUAGAUGUCGUCUAGAACUGAUACUUGAUAUGAGGCGGUGCCUAAUCUGAAAUGACGCUCAACUAGAAGUAGCACAUGUUGCGAGACUGCUAUAUUUAUGGCUUAUUUUGCCUUGGUUGGCUCGGCUUGUGGCGUUGAAGGUGAGAGAGUCCCUUUUAUAGAAUAAGGGCUCGUUCCUCAAUACAUAAAUGAUGGGCUAU
rnacentral:lncRNA from 1 species